UACGAAGGGGGGCUAGCGUUGUUCGGAAUCACUGGGCGUAAAGCGCACGUAGGCGGAUCUUUUAAGUCAGGGGUGAAAUCCCGAGGCUCAACCUCGGAACUGCCUUUGAUACUGGGGAUCUCGAGUCCGGGAGAGGUGAGUGGAACUGCGAGUGUAGAGGUGAAAUUCGUAGAUAUUCGCAAGAACACCAGUGGCGAAGGCGGCUCACUGGCCCGGAACUGACGCUGAGGUGCGAAAGCGUGGGGAGCAAACAGGG
rnacentral:rRNA from 1 species